rnacentral:rRNA from 1 species
UGGGGAAUAUUGGACAAUGGACCAAGAGUCUGAUCCAGCAAUUCUGUGUGCACGAUGAAGUUUUUCGGAAUGUAAAGUGCUUUCAGUUGGGAAGAAAGAAAUGACGGUACCAACAGAAGAAGUGACGGCUAAAUACGUGCCAGCAGCCGCGGUAAUACGUAUGUCACGAGCGUUAUCCGGAUUCAUUGGGCGUAAAGCGCGUCUAGGUGGUUAUGUAAGUCUGAUGUGAAAAUGCAGGGCUCAACUCUGUAUUGCGUUGGAAACUGUAUAACUAGAGUACUGGAGAGGUAAGCGGAACUACAAGUGUAGAGGUGAAAUUCGUAGAUAUUUGUAGGAAUGCCGAUGGGGAAGCCAGCUUACUGGACAGAUACUGACGCUGAAGCGCGAAAGCGUGGGUAGCAAACAGGAUUAGAUACCCUGGUAGUCCACGCCGUAAACGAUGAUUACUAGGUGUUGGGGGUCGAACCUCAGCGCCCAAGCAAACGCGAUAAGUAAUCCGCCUGGGGAGUACGUACGCAAGUAUG